rnacentral:misc_RNA from 1 species
UACGGAGGGGGCUAGCGUUGCUCGGAAUUACUGGGCGUAAAGCGCGCGUAGGCGGUGAUCUUAGUUAGAUGUGAAAGGCCUGGGCUUAACCCAGGAACUGCAUUUAAUACUGGAUCGCUAGAAUCCGAGAGAGGGUAGUGGAAUUCCCAGUGUAGAGGUGAAAUUCGUAGAUAUUGGGAAGAACACCAGUGGCGAAGGCGGCUACCUGGCUCGCGAUUGACGCUGAGGUGCGAAAGCGUGGGGAGCAAACAGG